GUUGGCUUGGAUUUGGGGAUUGCUGGGCCUUGUGUCUGGCUUCCCUUGAAUGCAUUAGUUGAAUUGACUUGCAACGCUAUGUGUGGUGUGAUAAUAUCUUCACUGCAUAGUUGUAAUGAAGUUUGGCUUCUAACUGUCUUUCAUUAGACAAUCUUUGACCAUUAGACCUCAAAUCAGGUAGGACUACCCGCUGAACUUAA
rnacentral:misc_RNA from 1 species